ensembl:lncRNA
AGGCCACCGCGCACACACACCGCAGGCUUGCGCUGUCCCUGACUGACCCAGAAUCUCCCACCGAGCUCAGGACACAGACGACACACAUCUCCUGCUACUGCCCAGGCCUGUCCGGCUUGGCCCCCUGGAUGGAGGUGCAGGAAAGAGAGGCCAUCUUAGUUCGUGACCUAGACAUGUCCUUGGAAGCAACCUUGUCCCACCUCCCUCAGUUGGAUGCCCACUAACGGACAGGUGACCUGUCUGGUCUGUCCAGCAUCCUCUGAGGGAGCGUAAGGAAGCAGAAGCCCAGAGGAGGACAGUGACUUGAGGUGGCUUCCGCAUGGGUUCCUCGACACCCCACCCCACCCCCAAUGGCUGCUCACCCGUGGACGGGGGCCCCUCCUGGAACCGAACCCUGGUGCUGGAGAAGUGAAAGUGUGGGGAACUCGGCGCUGGGCCCUCACACCUGAUCCUUGGCCGUGGCUGGCCCCGCGACUCCUGCCUCUGCUCCUGCCGAACCCAGUCUCCCUGUGACCUCAGGUCACCUCCGUCCAUCAGCAUCAGACCCGAGUGGGUCCCCACCGUGAGGCUCUGCAGCACAGCCCUGGUUCUCGCUUCCUCCCAGCGUCCAUCUCACUCAGGGCUCAUCCAGCCUGCCCCUCGCAGUGUCUCCCAUCCAGGCCGCCGCCGGCGGGGCCAGACUCAUGCACUUCCGUGGGUCCCUCCUGGACCCAAGCCCAGUUCUGGGGCGUGGGAACGAGGCACCGCCACAGGGCGCGUCUGGGCACGGUGUGGGCCUGGGGUCAGAAGGAGCUGUGGGGCCUCGGUCAAGACCACUGAGAACGCCCAGACGUUGGCAGCAGCGGGGGUCCUCCCGGGGGCAGCCAAGCAACCACACAGGAGACGAGCCGUGGACGCUCAGCUGCAGGGGGCCUUCUGCCUCGCACUGGGGCCCGACUCGGGGCCUCCCUCCCAGCCCGCAUCCUGGCAGAGGCCCCCCGGCACCCCGCCCACCUUCUUGGGACGCUUUCAUUUCUUAUACAUCCCACACCACUCGGGUCACUGACUCACCCAAGUGCUGUUAGCUGCUAAUUAAUCAAAUCUUUGAUGAGCUGUAUUUCUUACCUUAAUUAAAAUAAUGAUGAUUAAUGGAGUGGGGGGCAUCUAGCUCUGCAGUUAUCCCGGACAGUUCUACGGAGCUCACGCCCAGUUCUGGGGCAAGCCCAGGCUGAGUGGGCAGUCAGGGUCCAGCUGACCUAGAAUUUCUGGUCACCCACUGCUCACUGCUCCCAGAGCCAUCCC